UACAUUUAAGUGGAGAGCCUUGCAGAAGACUAUAUUAGAAAAUUGUAUAACAAUCAUCAAAAUUCCUUAUAGCCAGGAGAAUGCUCCAGUAAUGAUCUUCAAGGCUGUUUAUCAAAUAAAUGCAAUUCCAUAACAUAACCGGGAACGGAUGCAAGGCUGCCCUGGGAUAUGUUUAAGUACUGACUCCUAUGGGCAUUACAGUGUUGUGCCUGCAGCGUAACACUGAUAGGAAGAUACUUCUACCAAGUUUAUAGUCGGUGACUUUUACUACGAGAAAACUAUUGGACCCACUUAAUGCCAAAUGCUUUCCUACCUCAUGUUGGGCCGGUUAAAAUCAAGUA